rnacentral:lncRNA from 1 species
GUGUUACCUCCAAGAUUUUGUGAAACAUUAUGCUUGUCUGUAUUUGUGUGUGCAUGUCUGUGUGAAUUUUGAGUUCAGGAAUAACAGGUGAUUUGAUCACAGCUAUUUGACAGUGGUGAUAGUCAUUGUAUGCCAAGACGUUUAUGAAGGGAAUAGGUAGAUUGAGUGAGGUUCCUAUAUAUUUUGCCUAGUUGUACUCACCUACAAGAGCUGUAAUUAAAUGUUUCUCUCUUUCCCCUUCUUCCUCUCUUUUAUUCAUUUUUAUUUAUUUAUUUAUUUUUUUUACGAAGUCUCGCUCUCUCACCCAGGCUAGAGUGUGGUGGCACGAUCUUGGCUCACUGCAACUUUCGUCUCCUGGGUUCAAGCGAUUCUCCUGCCUCAGCCUCCUGAGUAGCUGGGAUUACAGGUGUGCACCAUCACACCUGGCUAAUUUUCAUAUUUCUAGUAGAAACAGAGUUUUGUCAUGUUGGCCAGGCUGGUCUCGAACUCCUGACCUCAAGUGAUCUGCCCGCUUUGGCCUCCCAACGGAAUGAGCCAUCAUGUCGGGCCUCAUUCAUUCUUUCUUUCAUAGAAGUUUGGAUACUGCCAAACAAAAUUAAAGACAUGAAAAACCAAUUGUUAUUACAAAUGUUACAAUUAUGUAACCACUGGUGUUUAUUUUUAUUAGAGCCAUAGCACCUACUGGCCUCUGCUUCAGGGAUUCACAAUGGUGGUGGGCAGGUUGGAUAUCACAGGGCUUACCCCUAGCAAUGCAUUCUAUUCCGCCUAUGCCCAGGUGGUGGUAAACAUGUAAGCAUCCAGUACACUGCGGUACCGACCCAUCAGAACAGACGCUGACUGGUACAACACAAUGGUGAAUGUUGCUGAAUAGCAACCCUUAAUCGAUAAUGAUCAAAUCUCCAUGGAGGUAAACUAAACUAGAAGUUUACCUCAAACAGGUAAUUUUUGUGCCAUACAUGAUUCACAGAACCUUCCAGAUCUGAUGCUUUCUGAGUGACCUGGUCAACUUGUUCUCAACCUGGAAUUCUUGGACCCUUAGAUGUUUGUAAAUUUGUUCUCAGAGCCUCUGAGCUCUCCACCUUCAUUUUUAAGUGCUUUAAUUUUUUUUUGGUGAUAAUCUUUAAAACUUCACAGAUGUGUGUCCUGGCUCUUCAGGGCGACUGCUUCAUAUUUGAGUACUGCCACACAAUGACUGCUCAUGUUCUGGGGCCUGCCUACAGAAAGGGACGAACUUUACCUUGGACUUUUUAAUGUAGUGUGGAUGUGCGUCUGUAGCUAGAGGUCUUCAGGUGCCAGUGGUUAAUCUGUUUGAAGCUUGCUUUAUUACAACCUCUCAUUCCGUAACAGACUCCUCCUCCACCAUCCCUCACCUCUGCUGAACCCUUCUAGCAGAGGGAACUCACCACAAGUGGGGACAUGGAUUUGGGAGCUUGAAAGGACCCCAGUGACCCUGCAGUCCAGCCCUUAGAGUGCUAAGUGACUUACUGAAGCCUCGAAGCCAUUCCUGGAGGAUUUGCAAUUCUUUUUUUUAUUUUUAUUUUUAUUUUUUUUAUACUUUAAGUUCUAGGGUACAUGUGCAUAAUGUGCAGGUUUGUUACAUAUGUAUACUUGUUCCACGUUGGCAUGCUGCACCCAUCAACUCCUCAGCACCCAUCAACUCGUCAUUUACAUCAGGUAUAACUCCCAAUGCAAUCCCUCCCCCUUCCCCCCUCCCCAUGAUAGGCCCCGGUGUAUGAUGUUCCCCUUCCCGAGUCCAAGUGAUCUCAUUGUUCAGUUCCCACCUAUGAGUGAGAACAUGCGGUGUUUGGUUUUCUGUUCUUGUGAUAGUUUGCUGAGAAUGAUGGUUUCCAGCUGCAUCCAUGUCCCUACAAAGGACACAAACUCAUCCCUUUUUAUGGCUGCAUAGUAUUCCAUGGUGUAUAUGUGCCACAUUUUCUUAAUCCAGUCUGUCACUGAUGGACAUUUGGGUUGAUUCCAAGUCUUUACUAUUGUGAAUAGUGCCGCAAUAAACAUAUGUGUGCAUGUG